rnacentral:rRNA from 1 species
UGCUCCAGAAUAGCUCUUGGAAACGGGUGGUAAUGCUGGAUGCUCCAACUUGACGCAUGUCUUGUUGGGAAAGUGUUUAGUGGCAUGGGAUGGGGUCGCGUCCUAUCAGCUUGUAGGCGGGGUAAUGGCCCACCUAGGCUUCGACGGGUAGCCGGCCUGAGAGAGCGGACGGCCACAUUGGGACUGAGAUACGGCCCAGACUCCUACGGGAGGCAGCAGCU